rnacentral:rRNA from 1 species
GGGUUGUGAGGUUAAGCGACUAAGCGUACACGGUGGAUGCCCUGGCAGUCAGAGGCGAUGAAGGACGUGCUAAUCUGCGAUAAGCGUCGGUAAGGUGAUAUGAACCGUUAUAACCGGCGAUUUCCGAAUGGGGAAACCCAGUGUGUUUCGACACACUAUCAUUAACUGAAUCCAUAGGUUAAUGAGGCGAACCGGGGGAACUGAAACAUCUAAGUACCCCGAGGAAAAGAAAUCAACCGAGAUUCCCCCAGUAGCGGCGAGCGAACGGGGAGCAGCCCAGAGCCUGAAUCAGUGUGUGUGUUAGUGGAAGCGUCUGGAAAGGCGCGCGAUACAGGGUGACAGCCCCGUACACAAAAAUGCACAUGCUGUGAGCUCGAUGAGUAGGGCGGGACACGUGGUAUCCUGUCUGAAUAUGGGGGGACCAUCCUCCAAGGCUAAAUACUCCUGACUGACCGAUAGUGAACCAGUACCGUGAGGGAAAGGCGAAAAGAACCCCGGCGAGGGGAGUGAAAAAGAACCUGAAACCGUGUACGUACAAGCAGUGGGAGCCUCUUUAUGGGGUGACUGCGUACCUUUUGUAUAAUGGGUCAGCGACUUAUAUUCUGUAGCAAGGUUAACCGAAUAGGGGAGCCGAAGGGAAACCGAGUCUUAACUGGGCGUUAAGUUGCAGGGUAUAGACCCGAAACCCGGUGAUCUAGCCAUGGGCAGGUUGAAGGUUGGGUAACACUAACUGGAGGACCGAACCGACUAAUGUUGAAAAAUUAGCGGAUGACUUGUGGCUGGGGGUGAAAGGCCAAUCAAACCGGGAGAUAGCUGGUUCUCCCCGAAAGCUAUUUAGGUAGCGCCUCGUGAAUUCAUCUCCGGGGGUAGAGCACUGUUUCGGCAAGGGGGUCAUCCCGACUUACCAACCCGAUGCAAACUGCGAAUACCGGAGAAUGUUAUCACGGGAGACACACGGCGGGUGCUAACGUCCGUCGUGAAGAGGGAAACAACCCAGACCGCCAGCUAAGGUCCCAAAGUCAUGGUUAAGUGGGAAACGAUGUGGGAAGGCCCAGACAGCCAGGAUGUUGGCUUAGAAGCAGCCAUCAUUUAAAGAAAGCGUAAUAGCUCACUGGUCGAGUCGGCCUGCGCGGAAGAUGUAACGGGGCUAAACCAUGCACCGAAGCUGCGGCAGCGACGCUUAUGCGUUGUUGGGUAGGGGAGCGUUCUGUAAGCCUGUGAAGGUGUGCUGUGAGGCAUGCUGGAGGUAUCAGAAGUGCGAAUGCUGACAUAAGUAACGAUAAAGCGGGUGAAAAGCCCGCUCGCCGGAAGACCAAGGGUUCCUGUCCAACGUUAAUCGGGGCAGGGUGAGUCGACCCCUAAGGCGAGGCCGAAAGGCGUAGUCGAUGGGAAACAGGUUAAUAUUCCUGUACUUGGUGUUACUGCGAAGGGGGGACGGAGAAGGCUAUGUUGGCCGGGCGACGGUUGUCCCGGUUUAAGCGUGUAGGCUGGUUUUCCAGGCAAAUCCGGAAAAUCAAGGCUGAGGCGUGAUGACGAGGCACUACGGUGCUGAAGCAACAAAUGCCCUGCUUCCAGGAAAAGCCUCUAAGCAUCAGGUAACAUCAAAUCGUACCCCAAACCGACACAGGUGGUCAGGUAGAGAAUACCAAGGCGCUUGAGAGAACUCGGGUGAAGGAACUAGGCAAAAUGGUGCCGUAACUUCGGGAGAAGGCACGCUGAUAUGUAGGUGAAGUCCCUCGCGGAUGGAGCUGAAAUCAGUCGAAGAUACCAGCUGGCUGCAACUGUUUAUUAAAAACACAGCACUGUGCAAACACGAAAGUGGACGUAUACGGUGUGACGCCUGCCCGGUGCCGGAAGGUUAAUUGAUGGGGUUAGCGGUAACGCGAAGCUCUUGAUCGAAGCCCCGGUAAACGGCGGCCGUAACUAUAACGGUCCUAAGGUAGCGAAAUUCCUUGUCGGGUAAGUUCCGACCUGCACGAAUGGCGUAAUGAUGGCCAGGCUGUCUCCACCCGAGACUCAGUGAAAUUGAACUCGCUGUGAAGAUGCAGUGUACCCGCGGCAAGACGGAAAGACCCCGUGAACCUUUACUAUAGCUUGACACUGAACAUUGAGCCUUGAUGUGUAGGAUAGGUGGGAGGCUUUGAAGUGUGGACGCCAGUCUGCAUGGAGCCGACCUUGAAAUACCACCCUUUAAUGUUUGAUGUUCUAACGUUGACCCGUAAUCCGGGUUGCGGACAGUGUCUGGUGGGUAGUUUGACUGGGGCGGUCUCCUCCUAAAGAGUAACGGAGGAGCACGAAGGUUGGCUAAUCCUGGUCGGACAUCAGGAGGUUAGUGCAAUGGCAUAAGCCAGCUUGACUGCGAGCGUGACGGCGCGAGCAGGUGCGAAAGCAGGUCAUAGUGAUCCGGUGGUUCUGAAUGGAAGGGCCAUCGCUCAACGGAUAAAAGGUACUCCGGGGAUAACAGGCUGAUACCGCCCAAGAGUUCAUAUCGACGGCGGUGUUUGGCACCUCGAUGUCGGCUCAUCACAUCCUGGGGCUGAAGUAGGUCCCAAGGGUAUGGCUGUUCGCCAUUUAAAGUGGUACGCGAGCUGGGUUUAGAACGUCGUGAGACAGUUCGGUCCCUAUCUGCCGUGGGCGCUGGAGAACUGAGGGGGGCUGCUCCUAGUACGAGAGGACCGGAGUGGACGCAUCACUGGUGUUCGGGUUGUCAUGCCAAUGGCACUGCCCGGUAGCUAAAUGCGGAAGAGAUAAGUGCUGAAAGCAUCUAAGCACGAAACUUGCCCCGAGAUGAGUUCUCCCUGAC